ACGACGACAUCUCGUUGAAAAACCAGUUUUCGUACGAUCAAAGAAGUUAAGCAACGUCGAGCUUGGUCAGUACCUCGAAGAGUGACCUCCUGAGGAUACCAGGUGCUGUAA